GGUCUUAUGGCGUAGUGGUUAUCGCGUUUGCCUUACAUCUCCGAUAGAAAUCGGGAAUCGAUGUCGCAAAAGGUCGCCAGUUCGACCCUGGCUGGGAUCA